rnacentral:rRNA from 1 species
AGUGAACGCUGGCGGUAGGCCUAACACAUGCAAGUCGAACGGCAGCACAGUAAGAGCUUGCUCUUACGGGUGGCGAGUGGCGGACGGGUGAGGAAUACAUCGGAAUCUACUUUUUCGUGGGGGAUAACGUAGGGAAACUUACGCUAAUACCGCAUACGACCUACGGGUGAAAGCAGGGGAUCUUCGGACCUUGCGCGAUUGAAUGAGCCGAUGUCGGAUUAGCUAGUUGGCGGGGUAAAGGCCCACCAAGGCGACGAUCCGUAGCUGGUCUGAGAGGAUGAGCGCCCAAACUGGAAAUGAGACACGGGCCAGAACCCUACGGGAGGAAGCAGGGGGGAAAAUUGGAAAAGGGGGGGAAGCCUGACCCAGCCAAACCGGGGGGGUGAAGAAGGCCUUCGGGUUUUAAAGCCCUUUUGUGGGGAAAAAAAAGCAGCAGGUUAAAACCCCGCUGUUUUGACGGUACCAAAAAAAAAAGCACCGGAUAACUUCGG